UAAAUUGUUCAUUAAUUGUGAACUGGAAUGAAGGAAAAAAUAGUUUAAUUCUGUCUUAAAGUUAUUAAUCGAAUUUAAAUUUUUUAUAAAAAUGUAAAAAUAUAACUUAGGGACAAGAAGACCCUACAAAGCUUUUUUUUCUAUAUAUUUGUUUUCUAAUAUAUGAUUAAUUUGAUUGGGGCAAUAAUUUAUUAAUAAUAAAUAUAAAUUUAAUUAAAUAAUAAAAUUUUAAAAUAUUUUUGAUCCAUUAUUAAUGAAAGAUGAUUAAGUUACUUUAGGGAUAACAGGAUAAUUUUUAUUAGAAAGUUCUUAUUAAUAAUAAAGUUUAUUACCUCGAUGUUGAAUUAAUUUAAUUUAAUGGUGAAGUAACUUUUUGAGUUUGACUGUUCGUCAAUUAAAU
rnacentral:rRNA from 1 species